UACGUAGGGUGCAAGCGUUAAUCGGAAUUACUGGGCGUAAAGCGUGCGCAGGCGGUUAUGUAAGUCAGAUGUGAAAUCCCCGGGCUCAACCUGGGAAUGGCAUUUGAGACUGCAUAGCUAGAGUGUGUCAGAGGGGGGUAGAAUUCCACGUGUAGCAGUGAAAUGCGUAGAGAUGUGGAGGAACACCGAUGGCGAAGGCAGCCCCCUGGGAUAACACUGACGCUCAUGCACGAAAGCGUGGGGAGCAAACAGG
rnacentral:rRNA from 1 species